GAAUGGGGUAUUAUUCCACAUCCCUGGGCCUCCAUUUUUAUCUUCUGCAUAGUGAGAAUGAAAUCCACACAUAGCUUGUCGCAUGGUUGUGGGGGCGAGGUCUGGGAGCAAGAAAACCUAUGGCUGUUCUUUCAGAAGGAACAACCCUGCUUCAGCCACCAGGACGCCAGAAUCCAGGAGCUCUGACACUUUGCAACUGAUCCAUCAUCAGCACCAGCCCACUAACACAAGGCCCAGUGAGGAAGGGACAGAGCCUGUCUGCCCACAAGGAGCAAGGCUGUCUCCAAAGGCUGAGCUCCAGAGGCAGCUGAGCAGCGUCAUAAAGCAGGGGACAUGGGGAACAGCAGCCGGGGUCUCACUCUUGGACGUGUACUGGUUGUACCAACACGUGGCAUUGAAGUGGAUACCCAACCAUAGUUAGACAAGCUCUUUGAUGCCUGAUUGAGGGCAGGGCCUCCCCCUCUAUCCUCUCCUUUCUCCACCACUCUCUUGUCCUAACCAGACAAGGAGGCUCUUACCGUCCUGCUAUCAGGCUCCUGCCCUCACAUGCACACAUUGGAUACUAUGAUUUUACCCCGAAGACUCCCAUCUCACAUCUUAACUGUUUCUAACCUACAAACAAUCUCAUCGAUCUGUUCUUAUAUAUGUAGACAGAAAAUGAACGACCUCUUAAAGGUUGGGAGCAGGUGCCUUCCACACCGACUCCUCUCUGACUUCAGUACCCACGGCAGCCUUUGCUAUAGCACAGAACACCAAGACGGACCUCAGAGGUGGACUGGCUGCAUCCAGUGCUUAGCAACAAAGGGCAUAUUACACCCAAUUCCCCCGAGAAGUUUAUUUCUCAAAUAAAAACAGUGAC
rnacentral:lncRNA from 1 species